ensembl:lncRNA
GUGGAGGUAAAGAGGUAUGGGACUGUAGGUGGAGGUAAAGAGGUAUGCGACUGGAGGUGGAGGUAUGGGACUGUAGGUGGAGGUAUAGAGGUAUGGGACUGUAGGCGGAGGUAAAGAGGUAUGGGACUGUAGGUGGAGGUAAAGAGGUAUGUGACUGUAGGUGGAGGUAUAGAGGUAAGUGACUGUAGGAGGAGGUAUGGGACUGUAGGUGGAGGUAAAGAGGUAGGGGACUGUAGUUGGAGGUAUAGAGGUAAGUGACUGUAGGAGGAGGUAUGGGACUGUAGGUGGAGGUAAAGAGGUAGGGGACUGUAGUUGGAGG